UAGCCUAGUGGUUAAGGCUAUGGAUGGCCAAUCCGGAAACGGCGGGUUCGAUUCCCGU
rfam:Aedes albopictus isolate Foshan contig103444, whole genome shotgun sequence.